rnacentral:rRNA from 1 species
UACGUAGGUGGCGAGCGUUGUUCGGAAUUAUUGGGCGUAAAGGGUUCGUAGGAUGUUUUUUAAGAUUGGUGUGAAAUCCCAAGGCUCAACCUUGGAACUGCAUUGAUGACUGAGAGACUAGAGUAUCGUAGAGGAAAGCGGAAUACCAGGUGUAGCGGUGGAAUGCGUAGAUAUCUGGUAGAACACCGACAGCGAAGGCAGCUUUCUGGGCGAUUACUGACUCUGAGGAACGAAAGCGUGGGUAGCAAACAGG